AGUCCACCACGUAAGGACACAGCAAGAAGGCACCAUCUAUGAACCAGGAAGCAAAACAGUCCUCAUCAGGCACCAAUCUGCUGGCACCUUGAUCUCGGACUUCCCAGCCUCCAGAACUGUGAGCAAUAAAUUUGUUGUUUUUAAGCCGCCCAGUCUGUGAUGUUUUGUUUUAGCAUCCCAGACUAAGUAAGGGUUUAAAAGAGGUGAUUAAGUUAAAAUGAGGUCAUCAGGGUGCACCCCAGUCCGACAUAGCUGAUGUCCUUAUAAGAAGAGGAAAUUAGGACACAGACAUAUGCCAUGUGAAGACGCAGGGAGAAUGUGACAUCUGCAAGCCAAGGAGAGAGGCUGCAGGAGAAACCAGCUCUGCUGACACUUUGAUCUCAAGCUCUGGCCACCAGAACUGUGAGCAAAUAAGUGUCUGUUGUUUAGGGCACCCUGUCCAUGGCACCUUGCUCCGAUAGCCCCAGGAAACGAAUCCACAGCACAGGUUUGUGCUCAGAAGCCCCUACACCAGCUGCUGCGUGAUGGAGAACAGGAGUCAAAGCACGGAGGCCGGCAGAAAAUCAAGAGGCCGGUCCUGUGCAUGGGCAAGAGGCCUCAGGGAUAUAUUAGCUGAGGAGGAAGCCGAGGUUGGGAAAGGUGGAGGGACUUGCCCAAGUCACACAAACGACAACUCAGCAGAGCUGAGAAUUGGCACCCAGGGCAACUGGAGUCCAUCCUGAGCUUGUCACUGCUGGGCUCUGAGACCUCCUGGUGAAGAAGGACAGUGGCAGAGACAGCCCGACCCAGAGAAACCCAGCAACGCUACUUUCUAAGGGCAUUUUUCCCUCUCAUUUGGAAUCCUGAGCCUCCUGCUCGUCCUGUAGGCCACACCCAGCAAACAGGUGGGUUUCAUUUCCUGGAGAAACCACAGAUGGAAAGUCCCAGCCAUGGGCUCCGUGUGACCUGGUGGCCUUAAGAAGCUCCCCCCACCGCCCCUCAGCCCUUUAAUCAUUUACAAAGCAGGGCCACACAGAGCAUCUAUUUUCUUUCUGGAACAUCAGAGCUGGCUGGGAACUGGGAGAAGAGCUGGAGCAACAGCCUGCAUCCAUUUCCUCUUGCUGCAAUAACAACUGAUCACAAGGUCAGUGGCUUAAACAACACAGAUUUACUCUCUUACAGUCUGAAGUAAGAGCCAAGAUGUCAGCGGGGCCGUGUUGCUUCCAGAGGCCCUAGGGAAAUCCAUUUCCUUGCACUUCCAGCUUCUAGAGGCCACCUGCGUUCCUUAGCUUGUGGCCUCAUCCUCAUUCUUCAAAGCCAGGCAUGUAGCAUCUUCCGGCUCCUCUCUCUCGCUCUGACCUUCCUGCCUCUCUGUUACAAGGAUCCACUUUUGUGGCUAAAAUGGGUCCAUCCUCCCCAGCCUGAAUGUGAAGACCCCCUCCUCCACGGCACCCCAUUGCCCAGGACAAGGAUGGGGCCCAUCACUGCUGCCCAGAGGAUAGGGAGACCCUCUCCAGGUUUCCUGGGAAGGCAUCAAGAUGUUCCCAAGGCUCAAAGAAAAAAGAAAUGGCUGGGCAUGGUGGCUCAUGCCUGUGAUCCGAGCUCUUUGGGAGACCAAGGCAGGAGAACCACUUGAGCCCAGGAGUUUGAAACCAGCUUGGACAGUGAUGGGCAAACCCCAUCUCUACAAAAAAUAAAAAAGUUAGCUGGAUGUGGUGGUGCACACCUGUAGUCCCCAACUAUUUUGAAGCGAGAUCACUUGAGGCCUUGAGGCUGGGAGGUUAAGGCUGCAGUCAGCCAUGACUGCUCCACUGCACUCCAGCCUGGGCAACACCGUGAGCCCUGAUCUCAAAAAUAAAUAAAUAAACAAAUAAAGAUGCU
ensembl:lncRNA novel transcript